rnacentral:rRNA from 1 species
UACGUAGGUGGCAAGCGUUGUCCGGAUUUAUUGGGCGUACAGGGCGCGCAGGCGGUUCGUUAGGUUCGAGGUGAAAUCUCUUGGCUCAACUGGGAGAGGUCUUCGGAUACCGGCGGACUUGAGGAGAGCAGAGGUGAGUGGAAUUCUGGGUGUAGUGGUGAAAUGCGUAGAUAUCCAGAGGAACACCAGUGGCGAAGGCGACUCACUGGGCUCCACCUGACGCUGAGGCGCGAAAGCGUGGGGAGCAAACAGG